UACAGAGGUGGCAAGCGUUGUUCGGAAUUACUGGGCGUAAAGGGCGCGUAGGCGGUUCGAUAAGUCCCGUGUGAAAUCCCUCGGCUCAACUGAGGAAUGGCACGGGAAACUGACGGGCUUGAGUUCGGGAGAGGGAAGCGGAAUUCCUGGUGUAGCGGUGGAAUGCGCAGAUAUCAGGAGGAACACCGAUAGCGAAGGCAGCUCGCUGGGACGGUACUGACGCUGAGGUGCGAAAGCGUGGGGAGCGAACAGG
rnacentral:rRNA from 1 species